CCUACGGGGCGUUGCAGUGGGGAAUAUUGGACAAUGGGCGAAAGCCUGAUCCAGCCAUGCCGCGUGUGUGAAGAAGGCCUUCGGGUUGUAAAGCACUUUCAGUGGGGAAGAAAGCCUUGGGGCUAAUACCCUCGAGGAAGGACAUCACCCACAGAAGAAGCACCGGCUAACUCCGUGCCAGCAGCCGCGGUAAUACGGAGGGUGCGAGCGUUAAUCGGAAUUACUGGGCGUAAAGCGCGCGUAGGCGGUCUGAUAAGCCGGUUGUGAAAGCCCCGGGCUCAACCUGGGAACGGCAUCCGGAACUGUCAGGCUAGAGUGCAGGAGAGGAAGGUAGAAUUCCCGGUGUAGCGGUGAAAUGCGUAGAGAUCGGGAGGAAUACCAGUGGCGAAGGCGGCCUUCUGGACUGACACUGACGCUGAGGUGCGAAAGCGUGGGUAGCAAACAGGAUUAGAUACCCCAGUAGUC
rnacentral:rRNA from 1 species